rnacentral:rRNA from 1 species
GACGAACGCUGGCGGCGUGCCUAACACAUGCAAGUCGAGCGGGGCGACCGGAGGCGGUAGAGAUACCGAGGAAGGGCGCCUAGCGGCGAACGGGUGAGUAACGCGUGGGCAAUCUGCCCCCGGGAGCGGGAUAACAGACCGAAAGGCCUGCUAAUACCGCAUGAAGCCGUCAUAUCACAUGGUAAGACGGUAAAAGGGGAAACCCGCCUGGGGGAGGAGCCCGCGUCCCAUUAGCUAGUUGGUGGUGUAACGGACCACCAAGGCGAUGAUGGGUAGCCGGCCUGAGAGGGUGAACGGCCACAUUGGGACUGAGACACGGCCCAGACUCCUACGGGGGGCAGCAGUGAGGGAUUUUCGGCAAUGGGCGAAAGCCUGACCGAGCGACGCCGCGUGAGCGAAGAAGGCCUUCGGGUCGUAAAGCUCUGUCUAGGGGAAGAGAAAGGACGGUACUCCUGGAGGAAGCCACGGCUAACUACGUG